GAGUAAUGCGUGACCAACCUGCCCCAUGCUCCAGAAUAGCUCUUGGAAACGGGUGGUAAUGCUGGAUGCUCCAACUUGACGCAUGUCUUGUUGGGAAAGUGUUUAGUGGCAUGGGAUGGGGUCGCGUCCUAUCAGCUUGUAGGCGGGGUAAUGGCCCACCUAGGCUUCGACGGGUAGCCGGCCUGAGAGGGCGGACGGCCACAUUGGGACUGAGAUACGGCCCAGACUCCUACGGGAGGCAGCAGUA
rnacentral:rRNA from 1 species